rnacentral:rRNA from 1 species
UGAAGUUGGAUUCGCUAGUAAUCGCGCAUCAGCCAUGGCGCGGUGAAUACGUUCCCGGGCCUUGUACACACCGCCCGUCAAGCCAUGGGAGCCGGGGGUGCCUGAAGUUCGUUACCGCAAGGAUCGACCUAGGGCAAAACUGGUGACUGGGGCUAAGUCGUAACAAGGUAUC